rnacentral:siRNA from 1 species
AGAUUUUAUUGCUGUAUAAAUUAG